rnacentral:misc_RNA from 1 species
GAUGAAGAACGUAGCGAAAUGCGAUAAGUAAUGUGAAUUGCAGAAUUUAGUGAAUCAUCGAAUCUUUGAACGCAUAUUGCGCCCGCCAGCACUCUGGCGGGCAUGCCUGUUCGAGCGUCAUUUCAACCCUCCGGCCUCGCGUCUGGCGUUGGGGCGCUGCGGCCCUCCCGCAGGCCCCCAAAUUUAGCGGCGGAUUCCCCGCGGCCCUGAGCGCAGUAGAGAGUAAAAACUUUAACGCUCCGGCGGCCGUGGCGCGGUUCUGCCUCUUUCCCAAUAGCGCCAAUAGCGCCACCCCCAAAAAAGUUGACCUCGGAUCAGGUAGGACUACCCGCUGAACUUAAGCAUAUCAAUAAGCGGAGGA